CCUACGGGACGCAGCAGUGGGGAAUAUUGCACAAUGGGGGAAACCCUGAUGCAGCGACGCCGCGUGAGUGAAGAAGUAUUUCGGUAUGUAAAGCUCUAUCAGCAGGGAAGAUAAUGACGGUACCUGACUAAGAAGCCCCGGCUAACUACGUGCCAGCAGCCGCGGUAAUACGUAGGGGGCAAGCGUUAUCCGGAUUCACUGGGUGUAAAGGGAGCGUAGACGGUAUGGCAAGUCUGAAGUGAAAGCCCAGGGCUUAACCCUGGGACUGCUUUGGAAACUGUUAGACUAGAGGGCUGGAGGGGGAA
rnacentral:rRNA from 1 species